CCUUUGAUUGUGUGUCGAGUCUGCGAGCAAACAAAGAUGUUGGCAUCCAUUGAGGAGAACUGAACAACAGCGAGUGAAAGUCCCACCCAACCGGAGUGAUGGGCACGCGACUGAACCAAUCUGUAAACCUCCUGUCAUCUUUUUCCUGGCAUCUUGCAUUAUGCCGUGUCUCUCAGAAGAAAUAACACUGUUCAUAUCCAGAAAUAUCUCCCACAUAAACAGGCUUGUAGUUGUAUAUAAGAGCUCUGUUCUCUUCUACUACAUCACUGAAGUGGUGGAGGCUUUCCCUUCCUAAAUAUGGCAAGAAAGACUCAUUAAAUUCAGGCUUUUAGGUCUCUACAUGUCAAGAACAUAAUAAUUUAUUACCUUCAUUUACAAAGAAUUCAGACAGUAGAGAUGACACGCGCACAGCAUUGCUUGAAUGUGGAAAAUUGUAAGAAGGAUUCCACUGGAAACGGUUUACUUCUGGGUGCCACUGUACACCAUAAACAGGAUAUUUCCUGCCUGCAGACCAAUAACAUUUGAGUUAGGAUGUGUACAGCUAUGAGCUGCUGGUAAAUAAAGAGAAUAAAAUCAAAUUAUGUUACCUUCAAUAGUAGAAACAAAGACAUAUCCGUUUUCUGCAACAUUUGUGGACAGAAUCGAGAAGAAGUCAUUUAAUUUUUUAUUACCCAUGAAUACCUGUAAAAGAGGAGGGAUUCAUUUUCUCCCGUUUGUUGUUUUGCUGAGAUUUGAAUGAUUAAAAGAAAUAUUAUGUGUUCAGUUUA